rnacentral:rRNA from 1 species
UACGGGGGGGGCAAGCGUUGUUCGGAAUUACUGGGCGUAAAGGGCUCGUAGGCGGCCAACUAAGUCGGAUGUGAAAUCCCCAGGCUCAACCUGGGAACUGCAUCCGAUACUGGAUGGCUUGAAUUCGGGAGAGGGAUGCAGAAUUCCAGGUGUAGCAGUGAAAUGCGUAGAUAUCAGGAGGAAUACCGAUGGCGAAGGCAGGUCUCUGGGCUGACACUGACGCUCAUGCACGAAAGCGUGGGGAGCAAACAGG